rnacentral:rRNA from 1 species
GACGAACGCUGGCGGCGUGCCUAAUACAUGCAAGUAGAACGCUGAAGAGAGGAGCUUGCUCUUCUUGGAUGAGUUGCGAACGGGGGAGUAACGCGUAGGUAACCUGCCUUGUAGCGGGGGAUAACUAUUGGAAACGAUAGCUAAUACCGCAUAACAAUGGAUGACACAUGUCAUUGAUUUGAAAGGGGCAAUUGCUCCACUACAAGAUGGACCUGCGUUGUAUUAGCUAGUAGGUGAGGUAAUGGCUCACCUAGGCGACGAUACAUAGCCGACCUGAGAGGGUGAUCGGCCACACUGGGACUGAGACACGGCCCAGACUCCUACGGGAGGCAGCAGUAGGGAAUCUUCGGCAAUGGGGGCAACCCUGACCGAGCAACGCCGCGUGAGUGAAGAAGGUUUUCGGAUCGUAAAGCUCUGUUGUAAGUCAAGAACGGGUGUGAGAGUGGAAAGUUCACACUGUGACGGUAGCUUACCAGAAAGGGACGGCUAACUACGUG